GUAUUUAGAGAAAUUUUUUUUGAGUCUGUAAGUUCUCCACUUAAGAAAUAUAUUAGGGCUGAAGGUCAAAGGAAGAAGACAUUAAACCUUUGCUCACUUAUGGCAAUUACUCUGGAGACAACCACUGCUUGGAAAACAAGUAUUAUGAGCUACCUGUGACAACAUUUUUGGAGCCUCAUUCUAAAUAGUCUUGCAGGGACCAAAGAUGCUUCCUUUCCCAGUUCACUGGUUAGUUUGCCUGUUUUUCAAUGAUACAAUUUGUUAGUAUCUG
rnacentral:lncRNA from 1 species